UACGGAAUGUGCAACCGUUAUUCGGAAUCACUGGGCUUAAAGAGUCCGUAGGCGGCAUGUUAGGUGAGGUGUGAAAUCCCCCGGCUCAACCGAGGAAUUGCGCUUCAAACCGGCGUGCUUGAGGAAGAUAGAGGUGGGCGGAACUGAUGGUGGAGCGGUGAAAUGCGUUGAUAUCAUCAGGAACACCGGAGGCGAAGGCGGCCCACUGGGUCUUUUCUGACGCUGAGGGACGAAAGCUAGGGGAGCGAACGGG
rnacentral:rRNA from 1 species